rnacentral:rRNA from 1 species
UGCCAGCCGCCGCGGUAAUACGAAGGGGGCUAGCGUUGUUCGGAACCACUGGGCGUAAAGCGUAUGUAGGCGGAUCAAAAAGUUAGAUGUGAAAUCCCUGGGCUCAACCCAGGAACUGCAUUUAAAACUAGUGAUCUAGAAUUUGGUAGGGGUUAGUAGAAUUUCCAGUGUAGAGGUGAAAUUCGUAGAUAUUGGAAAGAAUACCAGUGGCGAAAGCGCUCUACUGGACCAUUACUGACACUCAGAGGCGAAAGCUAGGGUAGCAAAAGGGAUUAGAUA